rnacentral:rRNA from 1 species
AUUGAACGCUGGCGGCAGGCCUAACACAUGCAAGUCGAGCGGUAGAGAGAAGCUUGCUUCUCUUGAGAGCGGCGGACGGGUGAGUAAAGCCUAGGAAUCUGCCUGGUAGUGGGGGAUAACGUUCGGAAACGGACGCUAAUACCGCAUACGUCCUACGAGUGAAAGCAGGGGAUCGUCGGGCCUUGCGCUAUCAUAUGAGCCUAGGUCGGAUUAGCUAGUUGGUGAGGUAAUGGCUCACCAAGGCGACGAUACGUAACUGGUCUGAGAGGAUGAUCAGUCACACUGGAACUGAGACACGGUCUAGACUCCUACGGGAGGCAGCAGUGGGGAAUAUUGGACAAUGGGCGAAAGCCUGAUCCAGCCAUGCCGCGUGUGUGAAGAAGGUCUUCGGAUUGUAAAGCACUUUAAGUUGGGAGGAAGGGCAGUAAGCUAAUACCUUGCUGUUUUGACGUUACCGACAGAAUAAGCACCGGCUAACUCUGUGCCAGCCGCCGCAGUAA